rnacentral:rRNA from 1 species
AGGACUAACGCUGGCGGCGUGCCUAACACAUGCAAGUCGAACGAGGUAGCAAUACCUAGUGGCAGACGGGUGAGUAACGCGUGGUCAACCUACCUCUUAGUGGGGGAUAACUAGCCGAAAGGUUAGCUAAUACCACAUACGAUCGUCGCGAGGCAUCUCGUGACGAUGAAAGGAGCAAUUCGCUAAGAGAGGGGACUGCGUCCCAUUAGUUAGUUGGUGGGGUAAUGGCCUACCAAGACUCCGAUGGGUAGCUGGCUUGAGAGAGCGACCAGCCACACUGGAACUGAGACACGGUCCAGACUCCUACGGGAGGCAGCAGUGAGGAAUUUUCCGCAAUGGGCGCAAGCCUGACGGAGCGACGCCGCGUGUGGGAAGAAGGGCCUUCGGGUCGUAAACCACUGUCGAAGGGGACGAUAUUGACGGUACCCUUGGAGGAAGCCCCGGCUAACUACGCGCCAGCAGCCGC